rnacentral:rRNA from 1 species
UGGCAUGGAUUAGGCAUGCAAGUCGAGCGCUCAUCAGCAAUGGUGGGAGCGGCGAACGGCGUAGUAAGACGUAGGAACGUACCCUCAGGACGGGGAUAGCUACGGGAAACUGUAGGUAAUACCCGAUAACCUCCGCGGAGCAAAGGUGUGAUUCCGCCUGGGGAGCGGCUUACGCGAUAUUAGCUAGUUGGUGGGGUAAUGGCCUACCAAGGCGAUGAUGUCUAGGGGGUGUGAGAGCAUGGCCCCCACGACCGGAACUGAGAUACUGUCCGGACACCUACGGGUGGCUGCAGUCGAGAAUCUUCCGCAAUGGACGAAAGUCUGACGGAGCGACGCCGCGCGCGGGAUGAAGGCCCUUGGGUUGUAAACCGCUGUCAGAGGGGAUGAAAUCUUCGGAGGUACUCCUCCGAAGUUGACAGAGCCUCAAAGGAAGCACGGGCUAAGUACGUGCCAGCAGCCGCGGUAACACGUACUGUGCGAACGUUAUUCGGAAUCACUGGGCUUAAAGGGUGCGUAGGCGGCGAUUCAAGUCAGAUGUGAAAUGCCUGAGCUCAACUGAGGCAUUGCGUUUGAAACUGAUUUGCUAGAGUGUCCUAGGGGUGUGCGGAACUGCCAGUGGAACGGUGAAAUGUGUUGAUAUUGGCAGGAACACCGGAGGCGAAGGCGGCACACUGGGGGAUAACUGACGCUGAGGCACGAAAGCCAAGGGAGCGAACGGGAUUAGAUACCCCGGUAGUCUUGGCCGUAAACGAUGAGUACUGGGCGGGAGGGGGUUUCCCCUUUCUGCCGUAGNGAAAGCGUUAAGUACUCCGCCUGGGGAGUAUGGUCGCAAGGCUGAAANUCAAAGGAAUUGACGGGGGCUCACACAAGCGGUGG